rnacentral:rRNA from 1 species
AGCGAACGCUGGCGGCAGGCUUAACACAUGCAAGUCGAGCGGGCAUCCUUGUGGUGUCAGCGGCAGACGGGUGAGUAACGCGUGGGAACGUGCCCUUCGGUUCGGAAUAACUCAGGGAAACUUGAGCUAAUACCGGAUACGUGCGAGAGCAGAAAGGUUUAUCUGCCGAAGGAUCGGCCCGCGUCUGAUUAGCUAGUUGGUGAGGUUAUGGCUCACCAAGGCGACGAUCAGUAGCUGGUCUGAGAGGAUGAUCAGCCACACUGGGACUGAGACACGGCCCAGACUCCUACGGGAGGCAGCAGUGGGGAAUAUUGGACAAUGGGGCAACCCUGAUCCAGCCAUGCCGCGUGAGUGAUGACGGCCUUAGGGUUGUAAAGCUCUUUUCUCCGGGACGAUAAUGACGGUACCGGAGGAAUAAGUCCCGGCUAACUUCGUG